GACGUAGGGCGCGAGCGUUGUCCGGAUUUAUUGGGCGUAAAGAGCUCGUAGGCGGCUUGUCGCGUCGGCUGUGAAAACCCGCGGCUCAACUGUGGGCGGGCAGCUGAUACGGGCAGGCUGGAGUUCGGUAGGGGCAACCGGAAUUCCCAGUGUAGCGGUGAAAUGCGUAGAUAUUGGGAAGAACACCUGAGGCGAAGGCGGGUUGCUGGGCUGAUACUGACGCUGAGGCGCGAAAGCCAGGGGAGCAAACGGG
rnacentral:rRNA from 1 species